rnacentral:rRNA from 1 species
CGCCCACGUCGGUGGGGGAGUAACUACGACGAAGACGUAGCUAAUACCGCAUACGAUCUACGGAUGAAAGCGGGGGAGUCGCAAGACCUCGCGCGAUUGGAGCGGCCGAUGGCAGAUUAGGUAGUUGGUGGGGUAAAGGCUCACCAAGCCUGCGAUCUGUAGCUGGUCUGAGAGGACGACCAGCCACACUGGGACUGAGACACGGCCCAG